rnacentral:tRNA from 1 species
GCUUAAAUAGCUUAAUUAAGAGCAUAACGUUGAAGGUGUUAAGGUGAUAUACAAUCUUUAGGUA